rnacentral:rRNA from 1 species
GGUGCUUGCACCUUUCAAGUGAGUGGCGAACGGGUGAGUAACACGUGGACAACCUGCCUCAAGGCUGGGGAUAACAUUUGGAAACAGAUGCUAAUACCGAAUAAAACUUAAUGUCGCAUGACACAAAGUUAAAAGGCGCUUCGGCGUCACCUAGAGAUGGAUCCGCGGUGCAUUAGUUAGUUGGUGGGGUAAAGGCCUACCAAGACAAUGAUGCAUAGCCGAGUUGAGAGACUGAUCGGCCACAUUGGGACUGAGACACGGCCCAAACUCCUACGGGAGGCUGCAGUAGGGAAUCUUCCACAAUGGGCGAAAGCCUGAUGGAGCAACGCCGCGUGUGUGAUGAAGGCUUUCGGGUCGUAAAGCACUGUUGUAUGGGAAGAACAGCUAGAAUAGGAAAUGAUUUUAGUUUGAC